rnacentral:lncRNA from 1 species
UACAUUAAAGACAUUGCAUAAAUAUAGAGAGCAUGUUCAUAAAAUAAUGUCACAGUGACAUACAGAAUUUAACCUAUAGCUAAUGCAAUUCUAUUUGCAAUCACAAUAGGAUUGGGAUUAUUUUAAGAACUCCCAAAAUUUGUUUGACAAUACUAAAGUCCAAGGACAGUCAAACUUUCAGAAGCAAAAGAAUACAUUCAGGCUGUUCAAACAUUGAGCAAGAUGCACUACAAACUGUGUUAAUGCCGAGUGUGCGGCAGGCACACUGUCCCCGGGCACAGAAUCCGAAGCCUCACAGCAACCCUGAGCAUGGUGAACCUGACGCAGGAUGGCCCGGGACACGGCUGGGCCCACAGUCACCGGGGACGCGGCAGAGUCGGGGUCUGAAACCGGAGAGAAAACCCUGCCACACCAGUUCUAGAUUACAGAAGCUUUGUUCCCUGUUAUUGAAGACAGCAAAACAUCAACACAAAAACAGCAAAGCCCUCAAAGUGACGUCUCUACUGGGGAUGCUUAUUACCACAAAAGUGACAACAUGUCACACAAUGCUGGAUGAGGACAAGCUACUGGAAAAUAAACACAAGUCCCCACUAUCAGAAUUUUCUGAUCUUUCCCUUGAUUUUUGUGACCCAUUUCUCAAUAUUUCUAUUUCAACACAGAAGUCUUAUUUCUGCCAAUUUGAAACCAAAUUUCUCUAAAAUUAAAAAAGCAGUAUUUCCUUUAAUUCUUA